rnacentral:rRNA from 1 species
UACAGAGGGUGCGAGCGUUUGUCCGGAAUCACUGGGCGUAAAGGGCGCGUAGGUGGCGCUGCAAGUCGGUGGUGAAAGCUCGCCGCUUAACGGCGAGUCGGCCAUCGAAACUGCAGGGCUUGAGCACUGUAGGGGCUAAUGGAAUUCCGGGUGUAGCGGUGGAAUGCGUAGAGAUCCGGAAGAACACCAGUGGCGAAGGCGGUUAGCUGGGCAGUUGCUGACACUGAUGCGCGACAGCGUGGGGAGCAAACAGG